ACGGGAGGCAGCAGUGAGGAAUAUUGGUCAAUGGGCGGAAGCCUGAACCAGCCAAGUCGCGUGAAGGAAGACGGUAUUAUGUAUUGUAAACUUCUUUAGCAGUAGAGCAAUAACCCCCUUGCGAGGGGGGAUGAGAGUAUACUGAGAAUAAGCAUCGGCUAACUCCGUGCCAGCAGCCGCGGUAAUACGGAGGAUGCGAGCGUUAUCCGGAUUUAUUGGGUUUAAAGGGUGCGCAGGCGGUUCUUUAAGUCAGUGGUUAAAUCGUGGGGCUCAACCCCAUCACGCCAUUGAUACUGGAGGACUUGAUUGCGGUUGAGGUAGGCGGAAUUCGUCGUGUAGCGGUGAAAUGCAUAGAUAUGACGAAGAACCCCGAUUGCGUAGGCAGCUUACCAAGCCGUAAAUGACGCUCAUGCACGAAAGUGCGGGGAUCGAACAGGAUUAGAUACCCUGGUA
rnacentral:rRNA from 1 species